CCCAGACUCCUACGGGAGGCAGCAGUCGGGAAUAUUGCGCAAUGGAGGAAACUCUGACGCAGUGACGCCGCGUAUAGGAAGAAGGUUUUCGGAUUGUAAACUAUUGUCCACAGGGAAGAUAAAAGACUGUACCUGAUUAAGAAGCCCCGGCUAACUACGUGCCAGCAGCCGCGGUAAUACGUAGGGGGCAAGCGUUAUCCGGAUUUACUGGGUGUAAAGGGAGCGUAGACGGCAGCACAAGUCUGGAGUGAAAUGCCGGGGCUUAACCCCGGAACUGCUUUGGAAACUGUGCAGCUAGAGUGCAGGAGAGGUAAGUGGAAUUCCUAGUGUAGCGGUGAAAUGCGUAGAUAUUAGGAGGAACACCAGUGGCGAAGGCGGCUUACUGGACUGUAACUGACGUUGAGGCUCGAAAGCGUGGGGAGCAAACAGGAUUAGAUACCCGAGUA
rnacentral:rRNA from 1 species